rnacentral:rRNA from 1 species
GAUGAACGCUGGCGGCGUGCCUAAUACAUGCAAGUCGAGCGAACAGAUAAGGAGCUUGCUCCUUUGACGUUAGCGGCGGACGGGUGAGUAACACGUGGGUAACCUACCUAUAAGACUGGGAUAACUUCGGGAAACCGGAGCUAAUACCGGAUAACAUUUGGAACCGCAUGGUUCUAAAGUGAAAGAUGGUUUUGCUAUCACUUCUAGAUGGACCCGCGCCGUAUUAGCUAGUUGGUAAGGUAACGGCUUACCAAGGCGACGAUACGUAGCCGACCUGAGAGGGUGAUCGGCCACACUGGAACUGAGACACGGUCCAGACUCCUACGGGAGGCAGCAGUAGGGAAUCUUCCGCAAUGGGCGAAAGCCUGACGGAGCAACGCCGCGUGAGUGAUGAAGGGGUUCGGCUCGUAAAACUCUGUUAUUAGGGAAGAACAAACGUGUAAGUAACUGUGCACGUCUUGACGGUACCUAAUCAGAAAGCCACGGCUAACUACGUG